UACGUAGGUGACAAGCGUUGUCCGGAAUUACUGGGCGUAAAAGGGCGCGUAGGCGGCCUUCUAAGUCGAAACGUGAAAAUCCCCCGGGCUCAACCCGGGGAACUGCGUCCGAUACUGGAAGGCUUGAAUCCGGGGAGAGGGAUGCGGAAUUCCAAGGGUGUAGCGGUGAAAUGCGUAGAUAUCAGGAGGAACACCGGUGGCGAAGGCGGGUCUCUGGGCAGUAACUGACGCUGAGGAGCGAAAGCGUGGGGAGCGAACAGG
rnacentral:rRNA from 1 species